GACAGAGGGUGCAAACGUUGUUCGGAAUUACUGAGCGUAAAGCGCGUGUAGGCGGCUUGGCAAGUCGGGUGUGAAAGCCCUGGGCUCAACCUAGGAAGUGCACUCGAAACUGCUUCGCUGGAAUGCCGGAGAGGAAAGCGGAAUUCAUCGGUGUAGAGGUGAAAUUCGUAGAUAUCGAGAGGAACACCGGUGGCGAAGGCGGCUUUCUGGACGGUUAUUGACGCUGAGACGCGAAAGCGUGGGAGCAAACAGG
rnacentral:rRNA from 1 species